AGUGAACGCUGGCGGUAGGCCUAACACAUGCAAGUCGAACGGCAGCACAGUAAGAGCUUGCUCUUACGGGUGGCGAGUGGCGGACGGGUGAGGAAUACAUCGGAAUCUACUUUUUCGUGGGGGAUAACGUAGGGAAACUUACGCUAAUACCGCAUACGACCUACGGGUGAAAGCAGGGGAUCUUCGGACCUUGCGCGAUUGAAUGAGCCGCUGUCGGAUUAGCUAGUUGGCGGGGUAAAGGCCCACCAAGGCGACGAUCCGUAACUGGUCUGAGAGGAUGAUCAGCGACACUGGAACUGGGACACGGUCCAGACUCCUACGGGAGGCAGCGGUAGGGAAUAUUGGACAAUGGGAGCAAGCCUGAUCCAGCAAUACCGCGUGGGUGAAGAAGGCCUUCGGGUUGUAAAGCCCUUUUGUUGGGAAAGAAAAGCAGCAGGUUAAUACCCCGCUGUUCUGACGGUACCCAAAGAAUAAGCACCGGCUAACUUCGUG
rnacentral:rRNA from 1 species